GACGAACGCUGGCGGCGUGCUUAACACAUGCAAGUCGAACGGAAAGGCCCUGCUUUUGUGGGGUGCUCGAGUGGCGAACGGGUGAGUAACACGUGAGUAACCUGCCCUUGACUUUGGGAUAACUUCAGGAAACUGGGGCUAAUACCGGAUAGGAGCUCCUGCUGCAUGGUGGGGGUUGGAAAGUUUCGGCGGUUGGGGAUGGACUCGCGGCUUAUCAGCUUGUUGGUGGGGUAGUGGCUUACCAAGGCUUUGACGGGUAGCCGGCCUGGGAGGGUGACCGGCCACAUUGGGACUGAGAAACGGCCCAGACUCCUACGGGGGGCAGCAGUGGGGAAUAUUGCACAAUGGGCGGAAGCCUGAUGCAGCAACGCCGCGUGCGGGAUGACGGCCUUCGGGUUGUAAACCGCUUUCGCCUGUGACGAAGCGUGAGUGACGGUAAUGGGUAAAGAAGCACCGGCUAACUACGU
rnacentral:rRNA from 1 species